rnacentral:rRNA from 1 species
CUCAGUAUAAGCUUCUAUACGGCGAAACUGCGAAUGGCUCAUUAAAACAGUUAUAGUUUAUUUGGUGGUCAGCAAUUACAUGGAUAACCGUGGUAAUUCUAGAGCUAAUACAUGCGCCCAAACCCGACUUCGUGGAAGGGUUGUGUUUAUUAGAUACAGAACCAACCCAGGCUCCGCCCGGCCUUGAGGUGAUUCAUAAUAACCGAACGAAUCGCAUGGCUAUGCCGGCGAUAGACCAUUCAAGUUUCUGACCUAUCAGCUAUCGUCGGUAGGGUAUUGGCCUACCGUGGCAAUGACGGGUAACGGAGAAUUAGGGUUCGAUUCCGGAGAGGGAGCCUGAGAAACGGCUACCACAUCUAAGGAAGGCAGCAGGCGCGCAAAUUACCCAAUCCUGACGCAGGGAGGUAGUGACAAGAAAUAACAAUACAGGGCAUACAUGUCUUGUAAUUGGAAUGAGUAAACUUUAAAUCACUUUACGAGUAUCAAUUGGAGGGCAAGUCUGGUGCCAGCAGCCGCGGUAAUUCCAGCUCCAAUAGCGUAUAUUAAAGUUGUUGCGGUUAAAAAGCUCGUAGUUGGAUUUCUGCUGAGGACGACCGGUCCGCCCUCCGGGUGAGCAUCUGGUUCGGCCUUGGCAUCUUCUUGGUGAACGUAUCUGCACUUGACUGUGUGGUGCGGUACCCAGGACUUUUACUUUGAGGAAAUUAGAGUGCUUCAAGCAGGCAUACGCCUUGAAUACAUUAGCAUGGAAUAAUAAGAUAGGACCUCGGUUCUAUUUUGUUGGUUUCUAGAGCUG